AUGGAGUGUGGUGGCAUCUCCGCCGUGCAGGUGCAACCGGCAGCGCCAAUGGAUCAGCCCGGCCAGCCGGCCAAGCCGCCGGUGCAGCCAUGGGAGUACAGCCUGCGGAAGUACCUCCUGCUGCUGGCCGCCCUGGUGGUCACCGUCACGUACGCCGCCGGCUUCAGCCCGCCGGGAGGCGUCUGGCAGACCGCCCACGACGGGCAGCCCGCCGGCGACCCCAUCAUCCGCGGAACCCACUACCGCCGCUACCUCGCCUUCUUCUACUGCAACGCCACCGCCUUCGCCGCGUCGCUCGUGGUCAUCGUCCUCAUCCUCAUCCUCGCCGUCCGCCACGACAAGAAGGGGAAGGACAGCCGCUGGGUCGUCGUGCCCCUGCGGCUGGUCAUGGUGCUGGACCUGCUCAGCCUCAUGGGCGCGUACGGCGCCGGUACCUGCCAGGACAAGGUCUGCAUCGUCUACUCCGCGGUGCUGGUGGCCGCCGUCUUCCUCUACAUCGCCGUUCUCAAGAUGAUGGACUGGUGGGGCCCAGACAACAAAUCCGGCUCUGGUUGCGACGGCACAAUGUCCACCGCACCCAACCGCAACUCCAACUUCGACGGCGUGAUGUCCACUCCUAAUCCCGACUCCGAUCCCGGCACGAUUUCUUCCCCCGUCCGCGACUCUGAUCCCAAUGUCAGAGAAGAAGAGGACCGUAAACGCGAGGCCUUGAAGAAGCUGAAAGCCGACGAACGGCUCCGCAAGGUACUGAUGCUCCUGGCGACGUUCGCGGUGAGCAUCACGUACGUCGCCGGGCUGAGCACGCCGGGUGGCUUCUGGGACACCACCGGGAUCAGCUACCGCCCGGGCGACGCAAUCCUCAAGGACCGCCACCGCCCGCGCCUGACGGUGUUCCUGCUCUGCAACACCACAUCGUUCGUAGCGUCCUUGCUCAUCAUCAUGCUGCUCAUCAUCGACGGCAAGAAGCUCCGCGAGAAGAAGGCUCGGUCGCUCGUGCUCUACGGGUUCAUCGUCGUCGCGCUUGUCAGCCUCGUCGGCGCUUACACCGCUGGCAGCUGCAGGGAGACAAAAACCACCAUCUACGUGGUCUCCCUGGCCGGCGGCAUUCUAGCAACAGCAUACAUCCUACUCUAUGCUUUCUACACUUUAAAGUCUUCUCGUUCCAGUCCAACGCAACAAAUUGAUGCAAUUCAGCAGACUACUGAUAAUGUCAGUGCUAGAAAGGGUCUGGACAAGGCUCGCUCUCUUGUUCUACUGCUCGCCACUCUUGCCGCCACCAUCACCUACACAGCGGGGUUGGACCCACCAGGUGGCGUUUGGCAGGACAAGGGCGAUGGGUACAUCGCCGGCGACCCGAUUCUAAUCACAACGAACAUUAGGAGGUACAGGGCCUUCUACUACUGCAACUCGGUUGCGUUCGUGGCCUCCUUGGUGGUCAUCGUCCUGGUCCAGACGGAGAGGCUGAUCAAGCACCACGUGCUGGAGGCGGCCAUGAUACUCGACCUGUUUGGCCUCAUCGGCGCAUAUGCCGCCGGGAGCUGUCGGGGCGUGAAUUCCUCCAUUUACGUCAUGGCUUUGGCAGGCGCUGCCCUGAUCUAUGUGGUGAUCCAUAUUGUCUUUUUCACACUGGAGCUGGAUCACAAGGACAAGAAAGACGACGAUGAAGAUGAGUUGCUGGAGAAGAGGCGCAAACGGUUGCUCCUGUUCGCGAUCUUGGCGGCAACCAUCACCUUUCAAGCCGGCCUCACCCCUCCUGGCGGGUUCCUUCUCCAGGACGACACGCUCGGGCACCACGCCGGUGACCCGAUCCUCUUGCACAACUACCAAGUCCGUUACUAUGCCUUCUUCUACUGCAACUCAGUGAGCUUCAUGCUUUCCAUCGCCCUCAUCAUCCUCCUGGUGAACCCCAAUCUGUACAGACCAGCCAUACGAAGCAAUGCACUAUCCGUUUGCACGGCGGUGGGCUUGUUUUGUUUGAUGGGGGCCUACGCUGCCGGAAGCACGCAACACCGCAAGACAUCCAUCUACAUCUUCGUGUUGGUGGCCGUGGUCCUCCUCGUUGCAGCCGGACUGCUGCUGGUAUUUUUGCUGAAGAGAAAGCGCAGCAAUGCGGUAGUUGCGCCACCCAGAGAACAAAACGAAGAAGAAAGGAAGGAGGUAGAAGAAAAGAACGAGGAUGAAGAAGAAGCGAAGAAGCAUGCAGGGCGCAAGUACCUGAUGCUGCUAGGCAUCUUGGUGGCGAGCGUAGCCUACCAGGCCGGCCUCGAACCGCCCGGCGGGGCGUGGCAGAACAACGACAACGGGUACGAGGCGGGCAACCCGGUGAUGCACGACAACAGGAGGGCCCGGUACCUCGCCUUCUUCUACAGCAACUCCAUUUCCUUUGUGGCUUCCAUCGUUGUCAUCAUCAUGUUGCUACCGCAAUGGCUGCCAAAGAAGAAAGAAGGAGAAUGGGAGAAAUGGUCGCUGCGGGUGAUGAACUGGACGAUCCGACUGGAUCUGUUUGCUCUCCUGGUGGCCUAUGCAGCCGGCUCCAACAGGGGGUGGAAGACAUCUGUUUAUGUCGUCGCACUCGUCUUUGCCGUGCUGAGCUACUUUGCAAUCCAUACAGUACUGGCAUGUACUGUAUGUCGCCGUGAGAGGCACCAAAGCAGCUCUGUAGUGUAG
rnacentral:rRNA from 1 species